UACGGAGGGUGCGAGCGUUGUCCGGAAUCACUGGGCGUAAAGGGCGCGUAGGUGGCGCGGGCAGUCAACGGUGAAAGUUCGGGGCUCAACCCUGAAUCGGCCGUCGAUACUCCCGGGCUUGAGCACUGUAGAGGCUAAUGGAAUUCCGGGUGUAGCGGUGGAAUGCGUAGAGAUCCGGAAGAACACCGGUGGCGAAGGCGGCUCACUGGCUCAUUACUGACGCUCAGGCGCGAUAGCGUGGGGAUCAAACAGG
rnacentral:rRNA from 1 species